rfam:Chryseobacterium sp. Leaf201 contig_23, whole genome shotgun sequence.
UAUUUUUGCAGCCGUUACAUAAUAAUCAUUAAACAAUAUUGGAAUG